rnacentral:rRNA from 1 species
UACGUAGGGUGCAAGCGUUGUCCGGAAUUAUUGGGCGUAAAGAGCUCGUAGGCGGCUUGUCACGUCGGAUGUGAAAGCCCCGGGCUCAACCUGGGAAUUGCAUUCGAGACUGAAUAGCUAGGGUGCGGUAGAGGGAAGCGGAAUUUCCGGUGUAGCGGUGAAAUGCGUAGAUAUCGGAAGGAACAUCAGUGGCGAAAGCGGCUUCCUGGACCAGCACCGACGUUCAGGCACGAAAGCGUGGGGAGCAAACAGG